rnacentral:misc_RNA from 1 species
GUACUUUUCUGCUAUGUUGUCUGACCGAUGGAAGCCUCAGAAGGAUGACGAUUCCGGUCCUUUGAGGUUGAGUUUCGGUGUUCCGGCGACUCAGGGUUCCAUGGAUGGCCAUUUGGCUGUUCUUGAGCUUCUGUAUGUUGAUGAUAUGUCGGACGCUAUCCAUAGCGCCAAGGCUGCUUUGGAUCUCCUCCCUGUUGCGCUUAAAUUUCUUUUUGAG